AUCAAACUCUCGGGGUGCCUCACAAGUUGAGGCUGAGAAGGCCGCAAAAGCCUACCCGCUGAACUUGACCCGGAUCAUACCGGCGUAAGGAAGAGCUUUUGUAACUUA
rnacentral:ncRNA from 2 species